GACGAACCGUACGAACGUUAUUCGGAAUUACUGGGCUUAAAGGGUGCGUAGGCGGCGCGGCAAGUUGGGUGUGAAAUCCCACGGCUCAACCGUGGAACGGCUGGGUAUACUGGCGGUCUUGGGCCAUUCAGGGGCGACUGGAACAAGCGGUGGAGCGGUGAAAUGCGUAGAUAUCGCUUGGAACGCCGAAGGUGAAAACAGGUCGCUGGGGAUGUGCCGACGCUGAGACACGAAAGCCAGGGGAGCAAACGGG
rnacentral:rRNA from 1 species